rnacentral:lncRNA from 1 species
GAUGGAACAGGUAUCUCAGAAGGUUGGGCUUCAGCAUCUUCUUGGGGUUGGAUUGCAGUAGGCUCAUUAUGCGCUUCCACCCCAUGAAUUUCAGCAUUUGUUUUAGAAAAGGACUCUUCAGCAUCUUCUUGGGGUUGGACAGCCAUAGGCUCAUUAUGUGCUUCAACCCCAUGAGUUUCAGCAUUUGUUUUAGAAUAGGACUCUUCAGCAUUUUCUUGGGGUUGGACUGCCAUAGGCUCAUUAUGUUCUUCCACCCCAUGAGUUUUAGCAUUCGUUUUAGAAUAAGACUCUUGAUCGUUUCCUUUUUCAAGCGAAAGGCUAUCUAAACCAUUGUGACAAACCUUGAUUCGACUCAGAUCUAAUGUCUCGUUUUGCAGAAUAGUCAAAUCAGCAGACACAUCUGGAAGAAAUGAGAAAAUCAAAUCAAGUAUGUUGGAGGUAAAUUUCACAAAUGAACCCAAAUACAAAUUGCGUUUUCAUCAAAACUCAACUAAACAUGAUUUUAUAACUGUUUUAUGUUUUUAGAUGAAAACUCCAAAUGAUCAACAGUACAAUAUAUAAGCUGAAAAUUCA